GACAGAGGAUGCAAGCGUUAUCCGGAAUGAUUGGGCGUAAAGCGUCUGUAGGUGGCCCGGUAAGUCCGCUGUAAAAGUCAAAGGCUCAACCUUUGAAUGUCAGUGGAUACUGCCGGGCUAGAGUCCGGAAGAGGCGAGUGGAACUCCUGGUGUAGCGGUGGAAUGCGCAGAUAUCAGGAGGAACACCAGCGGCGAAGGCAGGCUCGUGGGGACCGGUACUGACGUGCGUGAGGACGAGAACGUGGGGAGCAAACAGG
rnacentral:rRNA from 1 species